GUCAUGGCUCAGUGAUAGAGCAUUUGCUUAGCGUAAAAGGUCCCAGGUUCAAUCCCCAGCAUGAACA
rnacentral:tRNA from 1 species